CAGGAUAUGGGGCAGUCUGGUAGCCUACUCCUUUUGGAAAGGAGAUGUCGUUGGUUCAAAUCCAGCUAUCCUGA
rnacentral:tRNA from 3 species